GUCGCUUUAGCUCACUUGGGAGAGCGCCAGACUGAAGUUCACUUCGGUUCGAUGCAUUCUGUGCGGUAUCUGGAGGUACUGUGUUCGAUCUACAGAAGCGACA
rnacentral:tRNA from 1 species